AGGUCAAGCUAGGGCGCGGGAGCAGCGGAGUCCUGGUUGAGUGACCAUCCAAGGAAUAUGUCCUCGCGCGCGGCCGCCGUUUUCCUUUUCGGAAUGUGGGUAAAGAAUUUACCGCUAACAGACGACCUCCAGGUUCGCUCUUGGACAGCAAGAUUGAGAGACAAAACUUAACAAAGCGCUGUGCAAACUGAAAUCCCAGGCUUAGCUCGCUUGUGUCUUGAACACGGAAGUCACCUAGUCACCCACAAGAUGUAUGAGUACAGCUAACCCCCAGAUGCAUUUGACAGACGGCGUGGGACGCGCCACUUGCUGAUUGGCUCUCCUUUCCCAGUUGACCGCGACAUCCCCCAGCCCCAACUCCCUUUUGAUGGGGCUGUGACCACCUGCCGGUCCCCUCACCCACCCCUCACGCCCGGAGAGUCCGAGGUUGAUUCGAGUACUCACUAUGUGCUUAUGUAACACAUGUUUUCAUUAUUAAAAUAUAACUAGUUUACCCUCCCAAAACGAAAUAGAAGUGUCUUAAAAUGGAAACAGGUAUCUUUGGAGGCCAGAGUUAUUUAGCGUUAAAUAUCACUAGCCUCCCAGCAUUUUGGGAAGCCGACCGAGGCAAGCGGCUCAUUUGAGGUCAGGAGUUCGGGACCAGCCUGGCAAAUGUGGUGAAACCCCGUCUCUACUAAAAAUACAAAAAUUAGCUGGGCGUGGAGGCACGCACCUGUAAUCCCAGCUACUCGGGA
rnacentral:lncRNA from 1 species